rnacentral:rRNA from 1 species
UACGUAGGUGGCGAGCGUUGUCCGGAAUUACUGGGUGUAAAGCGCGUGUAGGCGGGAGGCCAAGUCUGUGGUGAAAUCGCUCGGCUUAACUGGGCGGGGUCCAUGGAAACUGGUCACCUGGAGGUCGGUAGAGGCAAGUGGAAUUGCCGGUGUAGUGGUGAAAUGCGUAGAGAUCGGCAGGAACAGCCCAGGGGGAAACCAGCCGACUGGGCAUUGCUGACGCUGAGGUGCGAGAGCGUGGGGAGCGA